UCGGGAAUUUUGGGCAAUGGGGGAAACCCUGACCCAGCAACGCCGCGUGAAGGAUGAAGUAUUUCGGUAUGUAAACUUCGAAAGAAUAGGAAGAAUAAAUGACGGUACUAUUUAUAAGGUCCGGCUAACUACGUGCCAGCAGCCGCGGUAAUACGUAGGGACCAAGCGUUGUUCGGAUUUACUGGGCAUAAAGGGCGCGUAGGCGGCAUGACAAGUCACUUGUGAAAUCUCUGGGCUUAACCCAGAACGGCCAAGUGAUACUGUCGCGCUAGAGUGCAGAAGGGGCAAUCGGAAUUCUUGGUGUAGCGGUGAAAUGCGUAGAUAUCAAGAGGAACACCUGAGGUGAAGACGGGUUGCUGGGCUGACACUGACGCUGAGGCGCGAAAGCCAGGGGAGCAAACGGGAUUAGAUACCCCAGUAGCCCUGAGCGGGCUGGCAAGGCGCAU
rnacentral:rRNA from 1 species